UAGUCCACGCCGUAAACGAUGAGAACUAGAUGUUGGGAGGGUUAGCCUCUCGGUGUCGCAGCUAACGCAUUAAGUUCUCCGCCUGGGGAGUACGCCGGCAACGGUAAAACUCAAAGGAAUUGACGGGGACCCGCACAAGCGGUGGAGCAUGUGGUUUAAUUCGAUGAUACGCGAGGAACCUUACCAGGGCUUAAAUGCAUAUUGACAGGUCUAGAGAUAGACUUUCCUUCGGGCAAUUUGCAAGGUGCUGCAUGGUUGUCGUCAGCUCGUGCCGUGAGGUGUCAGGUUAAGUCCUAUAACGAGCGCAACCCCUGUCGUUAGUUGCCAGCGAGUCAUGUCGGGGACUCUAACGAGACUGCCGGUGCAAACCGUGAGGAAGGUGGGGAUGACGUCAAGUCCUCAUGGGCCUUUAUAUCUGGGGGCUGGCACACGUCCUACAAUGCGGCGUACAAAGCGAUGCAGAUCGUGAGAUGGGAGCAAAACCGCAG
rnacentral:rRNA from 1 species